GAGAGAGAGAAAGAGUUCAUGUGUGUGUGAGCAGGGGAGGGGCAGAGAGAGAAUCCCAAGCAGGCUUGUCAUUUUUAGUGCAGAUCCCAACUUGGGGCUUGAACUCAUGAACCGUGACAUCAUGACCUAAGCUGAUACCAAGAGUUGGACACUUAAUUAAGCCCCUCAGAUGCCCGUCCUACUUAUUCCUAUUACCAGUUUCCAAGCUAGAACUUCAAAAAGUUAACAUUUUUGAGAAGGGAAAAAAAUUUCCCUAAAUUUUCUAAGUUGUUGAUAUUUAUUAAACAUCUUGACACUGUAUUUAUUUACCACUUAAUUUUAAAGAUUUAAUUGGUUUUAUUCACUGACUUAUGAAUCAGGCAGCAUCCCAUUUAGCAGACAGAAGGGAGCUCCACGGAGCUGUACAAAAUGAUAGGAGGGAGUGAAUAAGGACAUUGUAGCAGUAAUAAGUGUAUUGCUUGUAGUAAGGUCACUGUUCUUUAGGGGAUGGCAGGGGUCUGCCAGGCAUAUUACCUCACUAGUGCUGACCAGGUAAUUCCUGAGUAACUGGUUAAAGAUUCUGUUUCUGGGAGAGCCAGAACUAUGAUUCAGUUAGUUUGGUGAUGUGGGGCUUAGCAUCAAUGACUCCAUUUUCAGUCUGUUUUCUUGUUUGUACCUAUUAUUUAUUUAUUUAUUUUGAGAGAGAGAGAGGCAGAGAGAGAGGGGAAAAGAGAGAGAAUCCUAAGCAGGCUCCACGCUGGCAGCGUGGAACCCUGUGCAGGGCUCGAUCCCACAAACUGUGAGAUCAUGACCUGAGCUGAAAUCAAGAGUCAGAUGCUUAACCACCUGAGCCACCCUGGUACCCCAGAGAUUUUUUUUUUUUUUUUUAAGUACACUCUACCUUCAAUGUGGGGAUUGAACUCAUAUCCCAAGAUCAAGAAUUGCAUGCUCUACCAACUCAGCCAGCCAAGCACCCUGGUCCAGUGCUUUUAUGUAGCUGAAUUUCACCUUCCCCAGAAGUGUUAAUCUAGGUUCAGCAAGUGCUGUUGGCUAUAGCACAGGCUAAAGGGUCAUCAGUGAUUAUCUUAUUAUCAAGAACAACUUUGGCCAGAGUCCUGGGAUUUAUGUUGGGCAGCUAUUGUGUUAGCAGUAGAUUUUCCAAUAUCUUCAAGAGUUAAGGAGCUGACACUAUAUUUAUUAAAAAUUGGGAUAAGACUCAGAGAAGCUUUAACCUCUGUGCCUGAAAAGCUGUCUUUUAAAAUAACUUUUAUUUAUUUGUCCAUGGUUUAUAAGGUUUUCUGAUUUGCCUUCCCGGACCUCAUCGCCAUCUCUGGUGGAGGAGAGCAAUGAGCAACCUAAUGCAGCCCUGGAGCUUGCCUCAGGCCCCAGGUGGUGGUCAUUCUGAUUUUGAAAUUGGACCAGAAGAAUCCAGAGGAAUGCAACAACAUUUUUACUUCUUGCUCCCUGCUAGCUUUUUUCUGGGCCUCCCCAAAAUGUGUUUAUUUUGCCGGCCAUGCAUGUGGAGCAGUCUGGAAUUCUGUGUGGCACUAGAUAGUGAAAAAAAGUGGAAAGAUUUCCACAUGACAGAGGUUAUGGGAGUCGGAAAUCUUGGAUUAUGCAGGACUCUGUGAUUGAAAGGAAGAAAUUUGGGAAUGAGAUUUAUUUAUUUUUUUAAAUAUUUAUUUUUAAGAGAGAACAGGGAAGGGGCAGAGAGAAGGGGGACAGAGGAUCCGAAGUGUUGACAGCACAGAGCCUGACACAGGGCUUGAACUCAUGAACUAUGAGAUCAUGACCUGAGGCAAAGUUGGACCCUUAACCGACUGAGCCACCCAGGCACCCCUGCACACUUUUUUUAAAUUUGAAAAUAAGUCUAGGGGGUGGAGAUGUGGACUAGAAGCAGUUCCAAACUUUUAAGUAUCAAAUUAAGAAUUUUCACUCAUUAGAAGAAAAAAAGGCCUUUACUGUGAAAGAAUUAUCUGAACUUCAAUAGCCGGUUAAUGUAUACUUUGAGAGCAGUGUCUGUCAUAUUGUAAAAGACCCUGGGGGCCUGACCCCAGCAGACCCCCCUCACCACCUUUGUCACCCCAGGAUUGUCUCCAAGGAUGGCUUCACUGUCACCAGCCAGGUCUCAGCCUGGCCCUCUCAAAUGCCCAGCAAGUCUGUGUUCUCUGUUUUGCCAUGUUUAAUUAGCUCUGGAAAUAGGCUAUCAAAGGCUAUCUGGCAACGGUUCGUUAAUGGUACGAGGUGAAUUCAAAAGCACUAAUUAAUUGGUUUAGAUUAUUUGCAAAGCCCAUGCUGAAAAACCUAAUGCCUGUAGGAGAAAGUUGGCAGAAAGACUGUUCAGAGAUUAACCUGGACCUUACCCAGCUCAAUUGCCUUUUGGAAUUAGGCCAAGAGGGGAGUUGUUUUUCUUUUUGGAGAAGUGCUUGUGGUCACAUUGUUUCCUAAAUUCCCAGUUUACUGCUCCAGGGUCUAGUCUGAUGCAGCUCAGAUGGACCUUGCUGAGCUAGGGAACUCAAAGAGCAUCUUCUAGAGGUUUUGUUUGUUUUUUAUUUUGUGAGAGAAAUGCAAUUACUUAACAUUCAUUAACUAAAUACUUCCCAAGGGCCUCUUCUUAGAGAAAGGAAAGGGAGCUCUGGUUUGUUAUGAAAUAAUUCAGGUUUUAGUGUUAACCAUUCAAAGCACCAGGAUCAGGCCUUAAGUAUCUCCCCCACCCUCCUUAAAAUAAAACAAAUCAGAUUCCUCAUUUCUCCUGUUUGGCUGGCCCAGGACAGCAAACUGCUACUGCAUUUGGAAAAUGGUGUUCAGAAAUUUCAAUUUGCAAUCAAGUGCGUGCCAAUUUAAGUUCAAGGUAAAUUGUAUAUACGAAGGGGGAAAAUAGGCUUGCAUUUUAUAUUUUGUAUUUUGCUACAUUUGACAUGUCUUAUAAAAUAAUAAUACCUAGAAUUAGCUCAGCCAGAUGAAUUAGAAGGAUAAUGGAGGUCCCUGCCCCUUAAGAUGAGAGAGAUUUGAGGCUUUUUGGGCCAGGUGCCAGUGCUGGUGACUCUGAGAGCACUGCAGUCAGUUGAAGAUGAAAAUAGAGAAGAGUAUUUUGCAUUUAUCUCAGAGCCAAUAGAAUGUUAUAUGAGGAAGCUGUUUUCUAAGCAGUAUAUAGCACUGUUUGAAAACACCCAUCCAGAAAUCUGCCAGUCCCUGGGCCUGGCCCUGCCUCCUACUGACAGACCUCAGUGUUUUUUCCCCAUCCUUCUGGGCUUGAACAGCCUGUGAGUCAGUGGUUACGUACAAAUCUCAGGCCAAAUCGUACUUUAUUAUCAUGAUUCAGGAGAAAAGAAUUCUAAUGAAAAAUUUCAGAGGCCUGUGCUGGGCUGUUUCAUAUUGUCAGAUCUUCCUGAACUCAAGGAAGGCCCAACAAAAUCUGUUAUUUUCUGUUUAUUACUCAACUUGGAAUCUGCUGGAAAAAUCUUACAAGAAAACCUCAGGAGAGUGUGUGCUGGUUGAAGAAUUUGUUUCUGAGUGCACAGUGGCCUCUGUUUACUCUGUGUGAUGCUGGCUAUGCUGAGACCUUGGGCAACCUGCCUCCUCCUCAACCAGCAGAUCUGGAGUAGGGACUUCGAACUUUUAACCCUUUUUGCACAUAGUUCCCCUGGCAACUUGAUGGAGUUGGUUGGAAUGCAGAUCUCAGAGCUGUGAGAUAACAUGAAAGAUAUUUUUUAAAUUGGUAAUAGAGCCUUUGAACCAAUAAAUGACCAUGGUUUUUUUUUUUUUUUCUUUUUUUUUUGGUCUGAUUACACUUUGAUUUUAGAAAGUAAUUUUGUGCCUCAAUGUCAAGACUUACUAGUAUAUUCCACAUAAGUUGUAAGACAUUAUGGAUAAUGUUACAACUAAUAGUUAAAUUGAUGUCUUAAAGAGUGAUUUUAUUUAAAAAGAUACAAAAAAAGUUACUCUAAAAUAACCAUGAUUAUUUAUAUUUAAGUCCAUUUGAGUGGAAGAGAAAGGGGUUAGGAUUGCCACUGAUAGAGUGAAAAGUACACAGCAUCUGUAAUGUGUCAUGUAGUAGUUUUGCUGUCCAUGAACAUGGUAUACCUCUCCAUUUGUGUAGGUUUUCUUUAAUUUCUUUCAGCACUGCUUUUUGUUGUUUUCAGUAGUUUAUUUUGAAGACUGUAGUGUGUCCAAAUAUGAACAGUGUCCCUCAUGCAUGUCUGUUUCAUUAGAAGUAGGUAUGAGAACCUCUCUUUAGAGCUGUAAUUCUAUCUUCUUCAAAUUACUCUCCAUUAAUAAUGGUGAAAACUAAUUCUUCCUCUGGCCAUUUGGAGAGUGAGCUUAGUCAUUGAUAAUUAAAGCCACUGAUGAAGUGAGUUAUUGAUCUGGCUAGCUUUGCUGUAAGUUGUCAGAACUCAGAGUUCAGUGUGUACUUAAGAAAUAUGUUCUUUAGUUAAGGCUCAAACUGCUGUUGCUGACCAGGGAUAGCCAUAGCAUCUUUUCACUGAGGUGAAAUGAGCAUCCUUGUUCCUUUGGACUAAAGGUCAGUGUUAGAGGCAAUAUCAGAAUGCAAAGGUUGAAAGUUUUAUCCUUUUGCUGGGCUCUUGGGUUUUCCCAGCAUAUUUUUCUAGAGCAUUAUCACUCUGGUGAAGCUUUAUUUGAGACUUGUAACUAAAGAGUUUUGUAGAGAUUUUGUGCUCCAAAUGUGAGGAAUGCCUGAGGACUUUAACAAGGGAAACCUGUUGGACUGUUACACUCUUACUUAGUAAAAGUACUUUACCACCACAGUGUUCAUUCUUGACAGAGGUUGUACGGUAGUUGUUCCUUUGGGCUGUGGAUCCAGACACAGGUUCAGGCCCAGAUGUUGCUAUUUGCAGGCUAUAUGAUGGCCUCAGUGUCCUCACAUAAAAAUAGAGAUAUCAGCAGUAUCUACCACACUGUGUUCUUGUGAGGAUUAUAAAUAAGAUAAUGCAUAUCAAUCAUAGGGGCAUGUUUAUUUUACAUAAAACUUUAAAAAAUAGUGUUCUUUGAAAAUGUUAGCAUGGUGAACAUACUUACUCAGUCUUUUAAGUUGCAAGUCUUACUACUCAGACAUAUUUUUUUGAUGCAAGAAUCAGAUCUGAUUGUGAAAUACAAUUUUGCAGAUAAGACUCUGUCAAUGCCCAGUUUCUUUAUUUUCCUUAUGUUCUGCUCAGAGCAGUAGUGUCAGAGUACUGAUACGGUAUAAGGGGUGCAAUGAAGCUGGGAGGAGGUUGUGAAUAAGCUUUCUUUUCUUCUUGUUUUGGAGAUUUGACAAGUUUAUGACUUUCAGAGUUUCUAUUGCCUGAUCUGUAGGAUACUGCUAAUUAUACUUAGUCUGUUGAUUAUUCUGAGAAUGAAAUGCAUAUAAAGCAACCAGCAAUUUGUGGCACAUAGUAAGUCUUCAAAAAGUUAAUCAUUACUUAGAGAAUCUGUAUAUUUUGGAAAAGAAAGAGCUAGAACCGACUUAUGAUGGGCAGAGUGAGUUUAUUGUUCAACUGUGUGCUCCCAACAGAGAUAAGGCAGGUCAGGGUAUUUCUUUGGGAGAUGGCUGAUUUGCUGUUGGCUGAGCUAGAACUCAGGUGGCUUUGAAAUGAGCAUAACAGCUGAAGGGCUAAAUCUGGAGCCAGGAUGGAAAAGACCUUGCUCCUCUGGAGGAAGUGAGUUGGCCUUUAGCAUGAAUCCUCAAGAAAGGCAGUAGUGGCACUGAGGAGUAGGGCUGGGGGAGAGGUCGGAGAACCCAGAAGCAAUGGAAUGAGACCACCUAAUGGUAAUUUUCCUCAUCUGUGUAGUACCUCUGGGCUCAGUCCCACCAUCCUACUUAAAAUUGAAAUCCCUCUGAACCCCUGGUAUCUCCCUUCUUUCUUACUUUGCUCUGUUUUUUCCCUUAUAGCACUUAUCAUUUUAAAACAUGUUUAUGAUUUACUAUUUUUAUUAUUUAUCUUCCCCCACUAAAAUGUAAGCUCUACGAAAGUCAAGUCACUUUGCAAAAGCUAUGGUGCAGCUUUUCCAUAUAUAUGAAAAUUCUCAAGUAGAAGAGUUUGCACAUUGUCUUUGUCCCUGCUUGAACGUCCUCUUUCAGGGAGAGGGCAGGGACUGUUCACUGAUAAAUCCCUCGUCCCUUGCACGGAGUGGCUGCUUAGUAUUUAUUCAAUAAAUCAAUAAUUAAAACCCUGUCUCAUUCAUAAAGUACGAUAAAGAGAAACAACUUUGCUAAAGUAACAAGUCUGAAUCUUAAUGUAUUUUAUUUUGGAGGAAAGAAAAAGUGUUGGAGACUAUUCUGUGGACACCAGGUGAGGAGUCACCGUUUAGAUUCUUAGAUAAAACAAUGUCUGAGUGACCUGUGGUGGUUGAUUUAAAGGCAGGUACUGGAUCUGUCACAAGAUAAUGUCUUUGACAGCAAAAAGAUAUUGCUUCUUGGUAAACACUCUAUAAAGCUUAGCAUAAGACUCUUUAGUACUCUGCACCUUGGCUUAAGAAUUGGUGGUAUAUUACAUUCAGGAGCUGAAGGUUAACUCUUUAAACCAGUGGUCCUCAAAGUGUGACCACAGAUCUGACACCUUUUCAAGGGGUCCGUGAGGUCAGAAGUAUGAUAAUGAUAAUUCUAAGUGGUCUUUCACAAGGUUAACACCGCAGUGAUGGUGUAAAAGGAAUAUUGGAUAAAACAGCUGGUGCCUUUGUGGGGAUCGAGACAAUGCCACACAUUACUUUCAGUUAAGAAUGUUCUUGCCGAAGGAGUUAAAAAUCCUCAAAUACAUGUCUUUUUCAUGUUUUGUAUGAUGAAAUGGGCAGUAGGCAAGUAGCACUUCUUAUUCCAAAGUGCAGUGGUUGUGCUGAGGAAACACUUGUGCAGUUGUUUGUAUUGUGAGCUGAACGAGUCUGUUUUUCAUGGAAUGCCAUUUUACUUGAAAGAGGCACUGACAAACGAUGGUUAUCUAGCCUUCAGUGCUUGGCAGCCAUUUUUUGAAAAUGAACAAAGCGAUUCUGUUAUUUCAAAGAAAACAGUGUACAAUAUUAGUUGCCAAUGAAAAAUUUUAUUUUUCAAGCAAAAAUUAAAGUUUUGGAAAACUUACAUUCAUCACCAUGAUCAUACAGUUUCUCAAUAGUUAAUACUUUUUAAUGCGAUCAAUGGAAAUAUUCACAAAUAUGAUUUUUUUGAUAUCAUAUAAGAAAUAUGUCAAUAUUUUUCAUAUUUACAUAACUCAGUGAACCAUGAUUUUCCAGAUGGCCGAUACAUGAUGUUACAAAAUCAUGUGUGGGUAAUAAAAGAUCUCACAUCUUGAUAGCGCCCCAAAGAGCAAUUGAUUUUUAAAAACUUUAUAUAUUCAGAUAAUUUUGGACUUACAGAAGACUUAUAUAAGUAGUACAAAGAGUUCCCAUAUACCCUUUACUCAGCUUCACCUUAUGAUAGCAUUUAUAUGCCCUUAGAACAAUUAUUAAAACUACAAAAUUAAUCUUGGUACAAUAUUAUUAACUAAAGUAUGGAAUUUAUUUGGGUUUCACCAAUUUCCCCCUUAAUGUUUGUUUUCGAUUCCAGGACCUAACUCAAAAUUUCAAAUUGCAUUUGUCAUGUUUCCUUGGCCUCCUCCAGUCUGUGACAGUUCUUUUAGUGACAUUGCCACUUUUGAAAGAGCGGUCACUUGUUUUGGAACAUGCUCCUCAAUAUGAGCUUAUCUGAUAUCUCUCAUGAUUGCAUUAAGACGAUGCAUUAUUGGGAAGGGUACACAGAGAUAAUGUGCCCUUCUCAGGGCAUCAAAUCAGGGUUACAUUAAGAUGAUACGUCUGGUUACUGGUGAUGUUAGCCUUUAUCAGUUGGCUAACGUGGUCUCUGCCAUAUUUCUCUACUGUAAAGUUACUACUUUUUCCUUUGUAAUUGGUAUUUUCAGAGCAAUGGAUUUUAAUGUAACAAGGUAGGAAAAGUUUAUUAUACGAUUCAGAUUCCACAUCACAUCUAACCUUUAAGUAAUGGCUAUUUAAUGAGUUUAGGUAAAAUAUCAAAGAAGAAAUAGCUAACUACAAGUGUAUGAAAAGACUAUUAAGAUUUGCUUCCCCUCUCCAACUGUAUAUCUGUGUGAGGCCAGAUUUCUUCAUAUCCUUCAACCAGAAUAAUGUAUCACAAUAAAUUGAAUGCAGAAGUAGAUCUGAAAACCCAGCUGUCUUCUAUUAAGCUAGACAUUAAAGAGUUUGCAAAAAUGUAAACCAAUGCCGCUGUUCUCGCUAAGUUGUUUUAUUUCAAAAAGUUAUUUUUCAUAAAAGAUAAAAUUUGCAUUAACAUGCAGUAGGUUUAUUAUUGUUGGUUUUAAAUGAAUUAAAUAUUAAAAAAAUUUUUUUUAGUUUUUAUUUUUGAGAGAGACAGAGACAGAAUGCGAGUGGGUUAGGGGCAGAGAGAGAGGGAGACACAGAAUCUGAAGCAGGCUCCAGGCUCUGAGCUGUCAGCACAGAGCCCAACGCAGGGCUCGAACUCACGGAGUGUGAGAUCAUGACCUGAGCCGAAGUCGGACGCUCAACUGACUGAGCCACCCAGAUGCCUCAUGAAUUAAAUAUUUUAAAACAUUUUCUCAGUUUUAAUUUCUGUUGUGCUAAACGUUAGUAGCUAUAACUCAUACCAACAAAAUCUCUUUAGAGUCUUCAGUAAUUUUAAAGCACAAAGGGAUCUUAAGACCAAAAAAUUUCAGAAUUGCUGCUUGCUAAACAAAAGAAGAGAUAUCUUGGCAUGUGGAGGGGGAGAAUCAUGUCUUCUGGCCCAAAUGAAGUUUUGGUGAAGGAUUUUACCCAGAAGUCUUGCCCUGGGGAGGUUACUCACUUAGUACCUCUGUAUCUGUUUUCUCACCUGACAGAUGAGGGAUUGGCCUGAAGAUUUUUGGUUUCUUUCAGCUCCCAGAUUUUAUGAUUCCAAGUCACUGUUGCUGUCAAAGAUCUCGCUUAGCAGCACGGGCAUUAUCGAGCAAUAUAAGUAGUUUCUAGAGAGUGGUAUUUACAAAGUUAAUGAUGAAGAAGAUCAUAUCUGGAGGAUAUGACAUUGUAAUAUUUGUGAGGCUGGGAUUUGAGAGUCUUGUUCUGACUUUUUAAAAAUUAGUUCUUUCAGUGUCCCCUUCAAAAAAAUUGUAGUUUUAGGUCUUAAGUGGUUUUUACUAUACUGAGUAGGAGAAAGAUUUUUAAUUAUUGCUGAAUAUUUUUUUUGUCAGUUUAUGUGUAUCGCAAAUUAAAAAGUGCAUGAUUUCCUAGGAUUUUUGUGCUAUAAUGUUCUGUGUAUGUAUGUGUAAACUUCUUUUGUGUGGAGAUUUAUAAAUAUUUACAUAAAUCAUUUUUCUUUGUUAUGGGUUCUUCAUAUAUCACUGAUGUCUAUACUGAAGCAGGCUUGAGUUGUAAUAUUCAUUAUAUACUUAAAACCUUCAUGAAGUUAAUUAUUUUAGUACUUGGUUUUUUAAAAAAAACUUGAUUUUUUUUUAAUGUUUAGUUUUGAGAGAGACAGAAAGUGUGAGCGGGGGAAGGGGUAGAGAGAGGAAGACAGAGGAUCUGAAGCUGUUAGCACAGAGCCCAAUGUGGGGCUCAAACUCAUGAACUAUGAGAUCAUGAUCUGAGCCAAAGUUGGAUGCUUAACUGACUGCGCCACCUAGGCGCCCCUAAGAAAACUUGAUUAAGACGCUUGAGACAUCCUUGAUAUUUACAAAUGUGAACUUUAAAAAAAAAAAAAAAGCCACCUGGAA